UACGUAGGGAGCGAGCGUUGUCCGGAUUCAUUGGGCGUAAAGAGCUCGUAGGCGGCUUGGCAAGUCGGGUGUGAAAACUCCAGGCUCAACCUGGAGACGCCACCCGAUACUGCCAUGGCUAGAGUCCGGUAGGGGACCACGGAAUUCCGGGUGGAGUGGUGAAAUGCGUAGAGAUCCGGAGGAACACCAAAGGCGAAGGCAGUGUCCUGGGGAGUACCUGACGCUCAGGUGCGAAAGCCAGGGGAGCGAACGGG
rnacentral:rRNA from 1 species